GGUCCCGGCGGGCCGCUGACCUCCUGAAGUACCGGGGAAAGAACUACCCGCCCACCCACCCUCCCCGCCCACGUCACUCGUCCGGGUGACCGGCUUGCAGGGGCGGGAUCCGGACGGUUACGUUCGCCGCGACAACCGCAAACAGAUACGGCCCCCGGCCGGGACGGCAAUCCCGAACGAGGGCCUCACCGAUCAGGAAGAGAACGCUUCCCG
rnacentral:ncRNA from 1 species